rnacentral:sRNA from 1 species
UACCAUGGUUUUCCUGCGAAUCUCCUC